rnacentral:tRNA from 1 species
GGUGGGAUACCUAAGCGGCCAACGGGGAUAGACUGUAAAUCUAUUGGCAUUAUGCCUUCGGGGGUUCGAAUCCCUCUCCCACCA